GUUUGCCUUUCAGAUGGGACUCAGCAGUUCAGCAGAGUGGCUGAGUGCACAGUCUAUGGCCAGAGACACACAGGGAAAGCCAGGGGGAGAGAGAGAGAGAGAGAGAGAGAGAGGAAAUAAAAAAACUAUGAAGAAGAGAUUUAAUAUGCAUCAUGCGCCACCCAUGGAGGCUCGGUAUUAUUAUAGACCUUCUUAACACUGAAGGGGGUGCAUGUGUAUAUAUUCAUGGGUGCUCUUCCGCAAACGAUUGUGAAACAGCAUUCCAGAAACUUAACCAGGGACCUGGGACCAGAAGUCUUGCAGAGUGGCUGGGGCAAGGCUCCCUUCUCUCGUCCAAUUGGGAUAAGUUUUGGGAAGAAGUCUGUCUAGGGCCAGCUGAAGGAGAAGCUGUCUGAGACUCUACAGCUGGCCUAAAUAACUCCAUCUCCAAGGAGGAGAGGAGAGCUGGACACUGGAACAGAGAGCAAAUUCCAGGGGAGAAGACGACUCCAACCAGGCAUGAUCCUGGGGCUUCAUGACACCAAUUUAUAUAUUAAAUAUAUGGCUGUCCAACAUCUUGACAGAUGAAAGAGCCGUGACAAAGUCGGUCCGUUGGUGGUGCUUACCAAUGGUGUGGGAAAAGAGCCUGAAGCGUGAGCGGCAAACCUUCCCACAGUGGCUACCGGUCCGCUCACCAGAUGGAAGUUGAAGAACAGUCUGCUUCCUGGCUCGCCUGCAGGCCUCAGCCUGGGCUCUCUGAUGGCUCUUCGUGGUGACUGUGCCAGCCUUAACUCAGCUUCUCCAAACUGAGCAAUUGUGGGCCGGAUUUUCCCAGUUGUCAGUGGGAACGCUGAAUUUCUUGGGGCCUGUCCUUGCUUCACGUCGUCGCUAUAUCAGAGCUUUGGCCUUCCUCUGUGUCGCUGGCAGUUCUUAAGUUGGAAAGUUUGAAACUUAGAAAAUAAGCUACUUGGUUCCAAAUGACUAAAUUACAGCAUGACUCAGUGUCAUGGCUGGGUCACUGUGCCCCAGAGCUGAAGCACCAAAUCAUUGAAAUAGUGUGGACUGGUACAAAAUGGCAUAUUGAACUGAACAAAGGCCUGGAUCAAUGAAGCCAUUAACAAAGCAACCUUCUGGGGAGCAGAGACGACAUAGAGGCUAUGUGAUGAUGCCCAGGAGUCUUUUUUGUUUGUUUUUUCUUUAAGAACAAGCUAUAUGGCACAAAAUCUGUAAUGCACAGAACAGUGAUGUAUUAAAAAGGUCUUUACAGCAACCCUAUAAUUGAAUUUCCAGGAACAAAAGAACUCUUCUCUCUUUCCCUCUCCCUCUCCCGCCAACACUCAUUUUAUCUGAUCCACUGACAAUGUCAACUAAUCGCUUCCUUGGAGGCAAUGCUAUUAGUGGCACCAUCAGACCUGAUAUACUUGCCCCCUCUUACUUGAUCGUUUUGAUGUAAAGCCUCUUCCAGACCCCAGAGAGACUGCCUCUCUCCACUUCUUCUCCCAUCAUACACCGAAAGUGUGCUGGAGAACAUUUCUUGUACAGUGACAACUGCAAGGCUCCAGAGUGGGAACAGCACAAUCAUACUGCAAGUGAGACUUUAUUGGAAAGUCAUAAAUUAUCCUCCCCCCCCCCAAUUUUAUGUGAGUGGCUGAUAUUGUACGUAAUGAAUUGUGUGAGCACACAAAGAUUUCUUGACAUAGAGACUCUGUUGCUAUUAUGAAUUCACCAUGUUGAGUAUUGUAGGGCUCCAAUGUUUGCAAGGCAAUCCCCACCCCACCAAAAACCCCAAACCUAAUUGCCCCCAGACUUCUAAGAGCCGUUGACAUGGCAAGAAGAUCAUAAUGGAUAUUGUGAUGGGUUGGACCCCUUGGGAAGCAACCUGAUGUGCUGAGAUACCACUGAGUCUACCUGUUCUGCCAGCAUGGGCCCUC